UGCAUACACAGCCCUUUAAUUUUUUUUUUUUUGAGACAAGGUUUGGCUAAGCCACUAAGUUUCCCAGGCUGAGUUCAGACUUGCGAUUAUUAUCCUGUCUCAGCCUCCCACAGUGCUGAGAUUACAGGCCUACACCACCACAUUUGGCUCUUAUUUUUGACAAAUAAUUAUUGUUGAUGUUAAAUUUGAUCGUUUGGUAAGCUAUUCCCUCUCAUAUUUCCCUGUAUCUUGUUUUUUUUAUCAGUCUUGCAGUGGUUAUAGCAUCUGUUGAUAAUUACAGCUUGAAUCCGUUCUUACUUGGAAGAAGAGUAUUUGGAAACCAAGAUCUAGGACCCGUGAAGACAUUUCCAUCAUCUCAAAGUGUUCUCUUGUGUCACAUUCCGGUCUGUCCCUCGCUGCAGCCCCAGGCUCUCACUCCUCUCCUGUCACCGUGGAUUGAGCGAAACUCAUGUCUAGACUUCUCUGUCACCUGAGUCAUGUUGGGUGUACUCUUUUGUGUUAGGCUUCUUCUCUUCAGCAUGUUUCGAUAUUCACCUGUAUUGUAUUUAUCAGGAGUCCAUCCCUUUUUAUUUCUGCACAUAUGCUACUGUCUCGAAGUGCAUUAAGUGGACAUUUGGUUGUUCCCAGCUGUUACAAAUAAAGUUGCCGUGAACAUU